GCUUGAAAUUUGGGGGGAUUUUGGGGGUCCAGGAUGUGAAAGGAGGGGGGCGUAGAGCUAGAGUACAUAGAUGUGCGGGUUCUACCCCUGAACACAUGAUGUUUAAAUCUUUAAAAGUCAGAUGAUCAUUUGUAAUUUGGAUAAAUCAAUCAUUAGACUAUAAUAAUUUAAUUUGCACUUACUUCCAUUAUCUGCUUUUAUUUGCAAGUGAUUCAGAUUUUUGAUUGUGUAAACAUGGAAAAGUUCGCAUUUGACGAUUUUGUAAGAAUAUUCUGUCAUAUCGGAUAAAACCCUCAUAGACACAGAAACUGAUUUCAGCUCUGAAGAGGUGGAUCUCCUCUCUAGUUGUUGUAUUUCUAUGGGAUUAGCCCCCCUACAUUCACCCUCUCUAACAGGAUGUACACCAGCUGUAGCCGCCUCCCUCCAGGAUCUCAAACACUCACCCCUCAUUUCUCCUCCCCUCCUCUCUCUCCGUGUCCCCUCAUUUCUGUUAUUAUUAGAUUUACUGAAAUAAUUUUACUGAAUGACUCUUUUUAUUCUAUCAAAUAUAAUUCUGCACUUUGGUUUGUAAAUAAAACUGAAGCUCACAUCCAGAUCUGCCACUAAAAUUAGGUCUAUUUAACAUUUAUGGCCUUUAAUAGUAUGUUUUUUUUAAAUAAUUAUCUCUCAGUUUAAGUGAGUAUAAGUGAAGAUACUGUGGUUGUUUGAUUAAAAUCUGGACUCAAUAACAGUCGUCGUCAACGUCGUUUUCUUCCGCUUCAUCAGGGUCCGGGUCGUGGGGGCAGCAGCUUCAGGAGGGAAGCCCAGACGGCCCUCACCCAGGCCACUUCCACCAGCUCCUCCGGGGGGAUUCCUAGGCGCUCCCAGGCCAGGCGAGAGAUAUAAUCCCUCCACCUGGUCCUGGGCCGGCCAUGAGGUCUCCUUCCAAUUGGACACGUCCGGAACACCUCUAACGGGAGGCAUCCAGAAGGCGUCCUAACCAGAUGCCCGAGCCACCUCAGCUGACUCCUCUCGACGUGGAGGAGCAGCGGUUCUACUCUGAGCGCCUCCCGAGUGUCCGAGCUCCUUACCCUAUCUCUAAGGCUGAGCCCGGACACCCUGCAGAGGAAACCAAUUUCGGCCACUUGUAUCUGCGAUCUUGUUCUUUCGGUCAUUACCCAAAGUUCAUGACCAUAGGUGAGGAUCGACAUGUAGAUCGACCGGUAAAUCGAGAGUCUCGCCUUAUGGCUCAGCUCUUUCGGUUAAGUGUCAGCAUCACUGCUGACACCGCUCCAAUCCACCUGUCGAUCUCCCGCUCCAUCCUACCCUCACUCGUGAACAAGAUUCCAAGAUACUUGAACUCCUCCACUUGAGGCAGGACCGCCCCUCCGACCUGGAGAAGGCAAUCUACCUUUUGCCAACCGAGGACCAUGGCCUCGGAUUUGGUGUUGCUGAUUCGCAUCCCAGCCGCUUCACACUCGGCCGUGAACCGCCCCAACAAGAGCUGAAGGUCACUGCUCAACUAAGCUUGAAGCACCACAUCAUCCGCAAAAAGCAGUGACGCCAUCCUCUGCUUGCCGAACUGGACGCCCUCUACCCCCCGGCUGUGCCUAGAAAUUCUGUUCAAUAACAGUUUUAAAGGAAUUUAUAGAAGCAUUUUCUUUUAACAAGAAGUAAAAGUGAUAAUAAACAAAUAUUCAAACACUUUUUUAAAGUUGAUAUUGUGCUGCUGGAGUCCCACUUACAUUAAAGUUUAUUAUCAGUGAAAUAAUUCCCUUAAAUGUACAUAAAGAAUCAAAGUGUUCAUUCUGCAGUAAAGCGUCUCCUGUGACUGAUUUAUUAUUAAUGAUGACAUUAAUACAUUAUUCAUACUGGUGCAUCAUGUUUGAGCUGCAUGUUAGUGUUUUAUCGUUAAGAGGUAAAUCUGCUUUGAAUCACUGUCCUUUAAAUAUAGGCCCACGGUUCUCAACCUGAGGGUCAGGCCCCCAUAAAAAGUCACUCAAUGAAUCCAAAAAGGGGCAGAAAGGUUAUGAGGGAAGACUCAAACAGGUUGUUCUUUCCUUUCCUGCUGCUGAGAGGGUCCUUAUGAUCCAUGUCCAGAAAAAGAUUCAAUCCAAACACUUCAUACUCACAAAGAUCCACGGAUUCAUGUCAUUCUUUAAAGGCCGUAUGAAUUUGCUCAAGUUGUCUGUGAUCCAUCUUACCAUGUAAGAACCGAUUCGGAUCCUUCUGAUCCUUCCUUCGGUCAGUGUGUUUACAUGCACAGCUUAAUCAGAAUAAGUGCUGGGCAGCACAGUGGUUUAUUGGUUAGCACUGUCGCCUCACAGCAAGAAGGUGGAGUAUGCGUGUUCUCCCUGUGUCUGUGUGGGUUUACUCCAGGUACUCUGGUUUCCUCCCACAUCCCAAGAACAUUCAGAGGUGGGGUUAGGUUAACUGGCCACUUUCAGAUUGUCUGUAGGUGUGAAUGUGAGUGGGGAUGGUUGUUUGUCUCUAUAUGUCAGCCCUUCGAUGAACUGGCGACUUGUUCAGGGUGUCCCCUGCCUUUGCCCGAAGUUGCUGGGAUAGACUCGAGCACCCCCGUGUCCCCCAACCGGAAUAAGCGGUAGAAAAUGGAUGGAUGGAUGGAUGUACGUACGUGCUACUUUUUCUGCAGAUGAGAUGAACGCUACUCCUCUUCUCUGGUGUUUUUGUUCCGGGGUUACGGGGGCAUGGCGCACGCGCAUAUGCAUUGUCCGAGUACGCUGGUUACUUGGUAGAGAAAAUCGAAUUCCUAUCGCAUUAUCUGGGUGUCUUAAUCAGAGUUCUCAAACCCUGAUUAUAGUCGGACUAAGGUGUUUACAUGACCUUCAGUUGUCCGGUCUUAAUCAGAAUAAGGCGAUAAUUUGGUUUUCUCAAGUGUGAUGUAAACGUAUUGACUGUUGCACCAACUUCAGUGCAAGUCAAUUAUUGGCAUACUGGCGCUGCAUCUUUCAUGAAUCCCAUCCUCCCCAUGGCCAAUUUUACAUCCUAUAGAUGUUUCAGCAGCUAAUUUGUAUCAUUUUCAAGUUUUUUUGUGUACAUUGUGUGUGUUUGUGGGAUACAGGUACAUACAGGUGUUAGAGGAACAGCGGCAUAAAACUACCCUAAACUACCUAUUACUACCCUAAAUCUGUCGCUGAGUUUAAUAUUAGGAAAAACUGAACAAUCAGGUAUAAACUGUUAAAAGUAGUGAGCAUGUGUGAGUGUGUUUAUGAGCUCUGACCUGAGCUGUGUUGACUGUGGUGAAUAAACAG
rnacentral:lncRNA from 1 species